rfam:Pseudomonas sp. FeS53a scaffold7.1, whole genome shotgun sequence.
CUAUCCGACACCGCAAGGUUACUGCCCCCAGGGGCAGUUCAGACUUCCGCAGCGUGUCUGGCACGCUGCUGCCGGCACCGCCGGCUUUUGCUAACCCGCCGGUGAUUUUCACCGGC